UACGGGGGGGGCAAGCGUUGUUCGGAAUUACUGGGCGUAAAGGGCUCGUAGGCGGCCAACUAAGUCCGACGUGAAAUCCCCAGGCUUAACCUGGGAACUGCGUCGGAUACUGGAUGGCUUGAAUUCGGGAGAGGGAUGCAGAAUUCCAGGUGUAGCGGUGAAAUGCGUAGAUAUCUGGAGGAAUACCGGUGGCGAAGGCGGCAUCCUGGACCGACAUUGACGCUGAUGAGCGAAAAGCUAGGGGAGCAAACGGG
rnacentral:rRNA from 1 species